GCCUAGACAUUGUCCCCUUGAGUAUCAUAGUUCUAUUCUGCUGCAGGUCCCUCCCUCUGAUUCCUGAUCCACUGUGAUGGAAGAAGCUGUCCCAUAGCUUCCUGCCGCCAUGGAUGGAACCACUCCAAUGACCCUGCUUCCUCUGCCAUAAUCGGCUGUGGACAUCAAGGUACAGCUCUCAGUUCCUGCUCCAAUGCAUGUGUGCCACCAUGCUCCCUGCCAUGAGAUAAUGGACUGAUCCCCUGAAACUGUAAGCAAGCCCCCAAGAACAGGCACCAAGUGGAGCCCUUGAAGAUCUGUAAAGUACCUGCCAAUUCUUGUGAUGUGUGACCCUGCAUCUGCCUCCAGUUGCAAAUGUGAUGGGACAUCUGGAGGGUGACUUUUCAGCUCAAUUCUGUGGAUGACACAUGCAUGUAUGGUAAUGGCCAGGCAAGUGAUGCCAAAGUUGGAGAGUGCAUUCCACCACUGGUGUGUUUUGGGGGUGUGGCAGCUUUGGCCAUCAGCAACCACAAUAAGGCUAGGGUGAGGAGUGUGGAGUGUGAGUCCUUUGUCUCUAAACACUCAUGAGCAUAAGUUGUGAAGGCAAUACAGACUCCAUCUUAGGGUAGGGCCACCAUCUUAGACCACCUGCUGUACUCAGUUCUAGAAAAGACCCCAGGAAUGUGCCAGGACAAUUCAAACAGAUAUAGAGCAGUAUGCUCCUGCAAACAUUCUGUCUGCAGUUUAUGGCCCUUGAAGAUAUUUUGAUAAUCCUGUUGAGCAAUCCAGAUGAUCCUGCCCAGUAAGUUGUGGUUCUCUGCCAAAAAGUCCAACACAAUAGUUUCAAAAAGUCAUCUUGCCCCAUAUUCCUUCUACCCAAUCCCAAGAUGCCAAAGCAUGUAAUUCCCAGCUUCUGGUUAUUUCCUAUAAAAACUCUCUAUCCCUGGGCCUGCCUCUGCUGCCACAUUUCUCUCCAUCUGCUGCGUGAUGGCCCAGGUCCAAACAUGACAAUAAAAGAACCCUUAUGUGCUUGUAUUGGAAACUGGCUCCUUGGUGGUCUCUGGGGGUUUCUUGAAAUGGGUACAACAACAGGCAUUGCAAGGGUACAAACUAGAUAUUUUCUCUGCUCUUAGAAAGAAGUCCCAAGUUUCCAUCUUGAUCAAGUCACUUGGCCUCCUAGAGCCUCAAUUUCCUUGUCUGUAAGAUUGGGAUGGUGUAUACUCUGCCAGUAUUCCAGGGCCACUAUGAGUGCUGGUUUAUAGAACCAUAAAUAUAUUGCAUUAUUUUUUAAGGUAUCAUUUGCUUGUAAGAGACUCUAUUCAGAUACUACCACUAUCUAAUUGAGAUCAACAACUGCUUACUGACAGCUGUAUACUCUAGAAGUUCUAAGAAUGUACCCACCAAAUGCCAUUGAGAUAUUUGGCUGCAGAA